rnacentral:rRNA from 1 species
ACCUGCCCUUUGCACUGGGAUAGCCUCGGGAAACCGAGGUUAAUACCGGAUACUCCAUAUCCAUCGCAUGAUAGAUAUGGGAAAGCUCCGGCGGCAAAGGAUGGGCCCGCGGCCUGUUAGCUAGUUGGUGGGGUAGUGGCCUACCAAGGCAAUGAUGGGUAGCCGGGUUGAGAGACCGACUGGCCAGAUUGGGACUGAGACACGGCCCAGACUCCUACGGGAGGCAGCAGCGA